rnacentral:rRNA from 1 species
GACGAACGCUGGCGGCGUGCUUAACACAUGCAAGUCGAACGAAGUGGCGAACGGGUGAGUAAUACGUGGGUAACCUGCCCUCCUUUUUGGGAUAAGCCUUGGAAACGGGGUCUAAUAACGAAUAAUGGGGGAUGGGCGCGCGGACUAUCAGCUUGUUGGUGGGGUGAGGGCCUACCACGGCGGGGUAGGGUAGCCGGCCUGGGAGGGUGCCCGGCCACAAUGGGACUAGGAGAUGGCGCAGUGUCCUACGGGAGGCAGCGGUUGGGGAUAGUGCACAAUGGGGCAAACCCUGAGGCAGCAACGCCGCGUGCGGAAUGACGGCCUUCGGGUUGUGAACCGCUUUCAGCCAUGACGCGGUAGUGGCAGAAGAAGCACCGGCUAACUACGUGCCAGCCGCCGCGGUAAUUC